rnacentral:rRNA from 1 species
GGCCUUGACAUACUAAGAACUUUCCAGAGAUGGAUUGGUGCCUUCGGGAACUUAGAUACAGGUGCUGCAUGGCUGUCGUCAGCUCGUGUCGUGAGAUGUUGGGUUAAGUCCCGNAACGAGCGCAACCUUUUCCUUAUUUGCCAGCGGGUCAUGCCGGGAACUUUAAGGAUACUGCCAGUGACAAACUGGAGGAAGGCGGGGACGACGUCAAGUCAUCAUGGCCCUUACGGCCAGGGCUACACACGUGCUACAAUGGUCGGUACAAAGGGUUGCUACCUCGCGAGAGGAUGCUAAUCUCAAAAAGCCGAUCGUAGUCCGGAUCGCAGUCUGCAACUCGACUGCGUGAAGUCGGAAUCGCUAGUAAUCGCGGAUCAGAAUGCCGCGGUGAAUACGUUCCCGGGCCUUGUACACACCGCCCGUCACACCAUGGGAGUUUGUUGCACCAGAAGUAGGUAGUCUAACCGCAAGGAGGACGCUUACCACGGUGUGGCCGAUGACUGGGGUGAAGUCGUAACAAGGUAAGCGUAGAUGA